rnacentral:rRNA from 1 species
AGUGAACGCUGGCGGUAGGCCUAACACAUGCAAUUCGAACGGCAGCACAGUAAGAGCUUGCUCUUACGGGUGGCGAGUGGCGGACGGGUGAGGAAUACAUCGGAAUCUACUUUUUCGUGGGGGAUAACGUAGGGAAACUUACGCUAAUACCGCAUACGACCUACGGGUGAAAGCAGGGGAUCUUCGGACCUUGCGCGAUUGAAUGAGCCGAUGUCGGAUUAGCUAGUUGGCGGGGUAAAGGCCCACCAAGGCGACGAUCCGUAGCUGGUCUGAGAGGAUGAUCAGCCACACUGGAACUGAGACACGGUCCAGACUCCUACGGGAGGCAGCAGUGGGGAAUAUUGGACAAUGGGCGCAAGCCUGAUCCAGCCAUACCGCGUGGGUGAAGAAGGCAUUCGGGUUGUAAAGCCCUUUUGUUGGGAAAGAAAAGCAGCAGGUUAAUACCCCGCUGUUCUGACGGUACCCAAAGAAUAAGCACCGGCUAACUUCGUG